UUUUGUCUCUUUUUUGGUCUAAAUCAAAAUGAGUGAAAAACAAUUCAAGCAAUUGAUAAAGAAAAGAGCUACCAUUAAAGGGAAGCUUACUAACUUCAGUAAUUACUAAAAAUCUUUAAAGAAUGGUGAUGAAACUGCAGACCCUGCCCAAAUUCAAAUCGAGCUACAAUUACGGCUAGAUUAGAUAGAAGCUUUAUACGAUGAAUUUGACGGUUUUCAGAAUGAGAUAGAGGAGCUGUGCGAUUCAUCCGACGAUGAAUCCAAAGAGCGCCACACGUUCGAGAUGCUCUACUAUUCGCUCGUGUCUGCUGGUCGGGCUUUGAUCGCUAGCCAUCGUAAGCUGUCAAUCCCAUCCCAGGACCCCAUAGUUGCAGCAGUCUCUGAAGAUUCCUCAGACUCACACAAACCAACCAAAGCUAUUCAUUUGGAGCUAGUUUCGGACCUGUCAAAGGAAGCCUUUAUCACAUCGUUGAACAGAUUUACAUCACGUAAAGGUAAGCCGAAAACCAUACUUUCGGACAACGGGACUACAUUUGUUGGUACAUUCCAUGAGCUAUCUAAGGUCCUAAGCCAGCUUUCACCAGCAGACACGGUCGAAGAUGGUACUGACUUCUCAUUCAUACCCGCGUAUACCCCACAUUUUGGUGGCCUUUGGGAAUCGGCUGUGAAAUCAGUAAAACAUCACCUCAGGCGAGUUCUGGGCUUAACGUACUUAGACUAUGAAGAAAUGAACACUUUGUUAGUGCAAGUAGAAGGAAUUUUAAACUCCCGUCCAAUUACUCCAUUGUCUGACGAUCCCUUCGAUCUGUACCCGCUUACUCCAGCCCACUUCCUAAUCGGGCGAUCUCUACUGCUGGCACCACAAGCUCAAAUUACCUGCAGCAGAAUUUCAUCUCUCGCAAGGCUCCAACGCAUCGAAUUGCUAAAGCAACAUUUCUGGACUCGUUUUUCCACAGAAUAUGUUACCUUAUUGCAACAAAAAAGGACGAUUUAAAAGAAGGGGCUCUUGUACUCAUAAAGGAUAAGAGUAGCCCCCCUCUUAUGUGGCUGCUGGGACGAAUCGUACGCGUGUAUCCAGGUGGAGACGGCAUUAAAACAGUCGCUGAAAUCAAGACCAAAAAGGGAAUCAUAAAAAGAGCCUUUAAUAACAUAUGCCCCUUACCUGUAAAUAUUGAAGAUACUUCAACGCCGGGAGUAUGUUAGCGACACAGUCGCUGUGUUAAGCGGCCGAAUUAAGACGGUCGCGCGGACAGACCGGUUUUGGAUACGAUACGGCCGCGUAGCAGAGAGCGGUCACUUUUGAUACGAACGGACUGUCUUGUGAACGUAAUAUUACCUUUGUAAAUUUAACUUCACGAAUUAAAUAUAUUAAUUACA